UUAUGAAUAAGGAUCGGCUAACUCCGUGCCAGCAGCCGCGGUAAUACGGAGGAUCCGAGCGUUAUCCGGAUUUAUUGGGUUUAAAGGGAGCGUAGGUGGACAGUUAAGUCAGUUGUGAAAGUUUGCGGCUCAACCGUAAAAUUGCAGUUGAUACUGGUUGUCUUGAGUACAGUAGAGGUGGGCGGAAUUCGUGGUGUAGCGGUGAAAUGCUUAGAUAUCACGAAGAACUCCGAUUGCGAAGGCAGCUCACUGGACUGCAACUGACACUGAUGCUCGAAAGUGUGGGUAUCAAACAGGAUUAGAUACCCUGGUAGUCCACACAGUAAACGAUGAAUACUCGCUGUUUGCGAUAUACAGUAAGCGGCCAAGCGAAAGCGUUAAGUAUUCCACCUGGGGAGUACGCCGGCAACGGUGAAACUCAAAGGAAUUGACGGGGGCCCGCACAAGCGGAGGAACAUGUGGUUUAAUUCGAUGAUACGCGAGGAACCUUACCCGGGCUUAAAUUGCAGUGGAAUGAUGUGGAAACAUGUCAGUGAGCAAUCACCGCUGUGAAGGUGCUGCAUGGUUGUCGUCAGCUCGUGCCGUGAGGUGUCGGCUUAAGUGCCAUAACGAGCGCAACCCUUGUUGUCAGUUACUAACAGGUCAUGCUGAGGACUCUGACAAGACUGCCAUCGUAAGAUGUGAGGAAGGUGGGGAUGACGUCAAAUCAGCACGGCCCUUACGUCCGGGGCUACACACGUGUUACAAUGGGGGGUACAGAAGGCAGCUAGCGGGUGACCGUAUGCUAAUCCCAAAAGCCUCUCUCAGUUCGGAUCGAAGUCUGCAACCCGACUUCGUGAAGCUGGAUUCGCUAGUAAUCGCGCAUCAGCCAUGGCGCGGUGAAUACGUUCCCGGGCCUUGUACACACCGCCCGUCAAGCCAUGGGAGCCGGGGGUACCUGAAGUACGUAACCGCAAGGAUCGUCCUAGGGUAAAACUGGUGACUGGGGCUAAGUCGUAACAAGGUAGCCGUACCGGAAGGUGCGGCUG
rnacentral:rRNA from 1 species